AAGGUAAGCUAUGACUACAGUGAUCUAAAUAAUGCCGAUUUCUGCAUACCAUCAGAUUCUUUGAUCUUUGGUGACUCUACCUACUCAGACAAGAGCAUUGUAUCUUCAAGCAUCCGACAUAUGCUGGAGGUUAAAAUGAUUUAGUAUUCCUGAUAGAAAAGGCAACUCUUUAGAGAACAAGCUUAUUCAAGUUCUUUUUUCUGCAAAGAUGUCUCGCUCCAACCACCUGACGAGUCAUCUACUUAAAAACGACCCUCUAUGCUAAUUGCGUCAUUCUCUUAAUUUUUCUGUCAUCAAUACAUAUUGAACACAGAACAAAAUUCAUUUUGACCUCAUCAUAUGCUUAGAAAAUGCUUGUAUUAAAGAAAAUAGCCAAAACAUUCUGUAUGUACCACUGCAGAAGCAGUGCCAAUUGGUCUAUCUUUCCUUACGUCUCCUCUGUCCAGUGCGCUCUUACCAGUCCUCAUUCCUGCUAGCUACUCAUUCCAUCACUGAAGAUGAAAAUGGAAAAUAAAUAAGCACAAUGUUGGCAUCUGCAGGGAUGCUCUUAAGUAGUUAGAAAUUUUUGUGACUGUAGGUAAUAGCUCAAUUCGAAUAGAUGAAUCCUCCUUGGAUUCCACUAUAUGCAAUUCAGAUAUAGAGGUGCAGAUGCAUGGUAGAUAGAAGACGUUGACCCAAUUCAAGUUCAAUUCCAAGAAGCUGAAAUGGAGGCAACUCUAUGGUUACAUAGGAAUAUAUUGAGACUGAGCAAGGAAUAUGGGGCAGUGUUCAAAGGCUGUGAAGGGGCGACUCUAUCUCUUUUUAUGAAACUAGAUGCCAAAAGGAAGGAAGAGAUGACAGAAACUCUUACUGCCAACUGUGGUACCCCAAAACAAAAGGGGGCAAAGGAAGUGGAAAAACUGGUUUUGAAUGUGACGUAUAAAGAUGAGGGGAAAAGAGCAAGGGGGAGGUCAAUUUCCAGAAGUGAACCAUGAAGAUAAAAAUUAUCUCGUGGAAUGUUUGGGGAUUGAAUAGAAGGGAAAAGAGAAGGUUAGUGAACAGUUUGAUACAAAGGUGGGAAGCAGACGUUUAUUGCUUUCAAGAAACAAAGUUAGCAGG
rnacentral:lncRNA from 1 species